CAGAGAACUUGCCCUUCGGGGUAGAUCUCCCACCCUUUGUUAACAUUAUUCUUGUUGCUUUGGCAGGCCAGACUCUGUCUACCGGCUCCGGCUGGUCAGUGCCUGCCAGAGGACCCAAACUCUUUAAUUUGAUGUCUGAGUAUUUAUAUAAUAGUUA
rnacentral:misc_RNA from 1 species